rnacentral:rRNA from 1 species
AAGGGCACCACAAGAACGCGUGGAGCAUGUGGCUUAAUUUGACUCAACGCGGGAAAUCUUACCGGGUCCGGACACACUGAGGAUUGACAGGCAAUAUUAAUUUCGUAUUUCGGUACGUUAUUAUGUUAAAUAUGCUAGUCCUUUCAUGAUUAUGUGAUAGGUGGUGCAUGGCCGUUCUUAGUUCGUGGAGUGAUCUGUCUGCUUAAUUGCGUUUCACUAAGGGCCUAUAAAUUUACGUGUGUUGCGGCACUUUGACCCCUCUGUUCUGCAGAGCGCGCGUCUUAGUUUGCUUAGCUCACACAAUUAGGUCCUGAAAGCAACGAACGUGACCGCAACCUCUUGUUGCCUUUAUACCAAACAUGGUUAUAUCCUUUCGAGGGUUUCCAUGAAAAAAGGCUCUUUAAACUAGAGGGACCGCUGUUACUUUCUUAAACCAGAGGAAGGUUGCGGCAAUAACAGGUCUGUGAUGCCCUUAGAUGUUCCGGGCUGCACACGUGCUACAAUGAUUAUUGCAGUGAGCAUCUCAUUUUUUACACACCGCAUACGCGAGUCCAUUUAUUCACCUUCGGGUGCUUUAAAUGUGCACCUCUGCGAGCGGUAAAGCCUGCUUCGAAAGUAAGUGGGUAAUCAAUUAGAAGUAAUGAUUUCCUUUUUUUUAGCACACAUAUAUACGGCGUUUAUACCCGGGCUGCCUUGUUGUAGCUUUUGUGCGUAUAGAUGUUUUUUCCGUAUGUGCGAUUGUCAAUUCAUGGUGGGGACAGACCAUUGUUAAUUGUUGGUCUCGGUCUUAACUAGGAAUGCCUUGUACGGGUCUUUGGUUCAACAAACCACCCGGAAUACGUCCCUGCCCUUUGUACACACCGCCCGUCGCUCUUACCGAUGGACUUCUCUGUGAGUUUGAGGGACUGGGAACGCAGAUUUUAUCUGCACGCCUAUGGAAACUUAAACGAACAGUGUGGUCUAAAGGAAAGAGAAGUCGAACAAGGCA